rfam:Drechmeria coniospora strain ARSEF 6962 chromosome 01, whole genome shotgun sequence.
GGCCCAUUUGUCUAGGGGUUAGGACGUUCGGUUUUGAUCCACAAUUAUCUCCGGAAAGCAUCAGUUCGAAUCUGAUAUGGGCCU